AUGGCUCAGGAUGAACGCUAGCGACAGGCUUAACACAUGCAAGUCGAGGGCAGCAUAAAAGUAGCAAUACGUUGGUGGCGACCGGCGCACGGGUGAGUAACGCGUAUGCAACCUACCUAUCAGAGGGGAAUAACCCGGCGAAAGUCGGACUAAUACCGCAUAAAACAGGGGCACCGCAUGGUGAUAUUUGUUAAAGAAAUUCGCUGAUAGAUGGGCAUGCGUUCCAUUAGGUAGUUGGUGAGGUAACGGCUCACCAAGCCGACGAUGGAUAGGGGAACUGAGAGGUUGGUCCCCCACACUGGUACUGAGACACGGACCAGACUCCUACGGGAGGCAGCAGUGAGGAAUAUUGGUCAAUGGGCGAGAGCCUGAACCAGCCAAGUCGCGUGAAGGAAGAAGGAUCUAUGGUUCGUAAACUUCUUUUGCAGGGGAAUAAAGUGCAGGACGUGUCCUGUUUUGUAUGUACCCUGAGAAUAAGGAUCGGCUAACUCCGUGCCAGCCGCCGC
rnacentral:rRNA from 1 species